rnacentral:rRNA from 1 species
GACGAACGCUGGCGGCGUGCUUAACACAUGCAAGUCGAACGAAGAGCGAUGGAAGCUUGCUUCUAUCAAUCUUAGUGGCGAACGGGUGAGUAACGCGUAAUCAACCUGCCCUUCAGAGGGGGACAACAGUUGGAAGCGACUGCUAAUACCGCAUACGAUCUAAUCUCGGCAUCGAGGAUAGAUGAAAGGUGGCCUCUACAUGUAAGCUAUCACUGAAGGAGGGGAUUGCGCCUGAUUAGCUAGUUGGAGGGGUAACGGCCCACCAAGGCGAUGAUCAGUAGCCGGUCUGAGAGGAUGAACGGCCACAUUGGGACUGAGACACGGCCCAGACUCCUACGGGAGGCAGCAGUGGGGAAUCUUCCGCAAUGGACGAAAGUCUGACGGAGCAACGCCGCGUGAGCGAUGACGGCCUUCGGGUUGUAAAGCUCUGUUAAUCGGGACGAAAGGCCUUCUUGCGAAUAGUGAGAAGGAUUGACGGUACCGGAAUAGAAAGCCACGGCUAACUACGUG